ACGGUGGUUGCCCGCCGCUACGGGAGAGGGGCUCGCGGAGGCUGGGUCGAUCUGCAGAUAAUUUAUUGCUUAGGGCGAGGAAAAUCAAUCAACACCCACUUGAGGCAAGAUGCAGAACUCAAAUGUUCAGUUAACGGAGGGAGUGAGGGAUACAGGGUUUACCUCGGCGGCGAAAACAGAGGAGACCGAGACGAACCGCACAGUUAGCGAGCGACAGGGAACGAACCAGAGAGGCGGAGGUGAAGGCGG
rnacentral:lncRNA from 1 species